GCGCCCGUAGCUCAACUGGACAGAGCGCCGGACUUCGGAUCCGGAGGCUGAGGGUUCGACUCCUUCCGGGCGCG
rnacentral:tRNA from 1 species